GCUGGUCUGAGAGGACGAUCAGCCACACUGGGACUGAGACACGGCCCAGACUCCUCCGGGAGGCAGCAGUGAGGAAUUUUCCGCAAUGGGCGAAAGCCUGACGGAGCAAUACCGCGUGAGGGAUGAAGGAUUUUGGUCUGUAAACCUCUUUUCUCAAGAAAGAAGUUCUGACGGUACUUGAGGAAUAAGCAUCGGCUAACUCCGUGCCAGCAGCCGCGGUAAUACGGGGGAUGCAAGCGUUAUCCGGAAUCAUUGGGCGUAAAGCGCCUGUAGGUUGUUUAAUAAGUCUGUUGUUAAAGACUAGGGCUUAACCCUAGAAAAGCAAUGGAAACUACUAGACUAGAGUAUGGCAGGGGUAGAGGGAAUUUCUAGUGUAGCGGUGAAAUGCGUAGAUAUUAGAAAGAACACCGGUGGCGAAAGCGCUCUACUGGACCAUUACUGACACUCAGAGGCGAAAGCUAGGGUAGCAAAAGGGAUUAGAUACCCCUGUAGUCCUAGCCGUAAACGAUGGAUACUAGAUGUUGUGCUUAGUACAGUAUCGUAGCUAACGCGUUAAGUAUCCCGCCUGGGGAGUACGCUCGCAAGGGUGAAACUCAAAGGAAUUGACGGGGGCCCGCACAAGCGGUGGAGCAUGUGGUUUAAUUCGAUGCAACGCGAAGAACCUUACCAGGGCUUGACAUACUAUAAAUUUUCCAGAGAUGGGAAAGUGCCUUCGGGAAUAUAGAUACAGGUGGUGCAUGGCUGUCGUCAGCUCGUGUCGUGAGAUGUUGGGUUAAGUC
rnacentral:rRNA from 1 species